GACGAACGCUGGCGGCGUGCUUAACACAUGCAAGUCGAACGAAGUGGCGAACGGGUGAGUAACGCGUAAUCAACCUGCCCUUCAGAGGGGGACAACAGUUGGAAACGACUGCUAAUACCGCAUACUGAAGGAGGGGAUUGCGUCUGAUUAGCUAGGUGGAGGGGUAACGGCCCACCAAGGCGAUGCUCAGUAGCCGGUCAGAGAGGCGUAACGUCAACAUUGGGACUGAGACACGCGCCAGACUCCUACGGGAGGGAGCAGGGGGGAAUCUUCCGCAAUGGACGAAAUUCUGACGGAGCAACGCCGCGUGAGUGAUGACGGCCUUCGGGUUGUAAAGCUCUGUUAGUCGGGACGCGGUACCGGAAUAGAAAGCCACGGCUAACUACGUGCCAGCAGCCGCGGUAAUAC
rnacentral:rRNA from 1 species